rnacentral:tmRNA from 1 species
GGGGCCGACCUGGCUUCGACGUGGGUUGCGAAGCAGCGCAGGGCAUACCGAGGCCCAGUUACCUCGUAAAUCCAUCUGGAAGCAACUAAACGCCAACGACGAGCGUUUCGCUCUCGCCGCUUAACCCGGCGAGCUCUGCACCGGUACUCUGAUGGGCCGGGCUGGGCAACCAGCAGCAGAGUCAUUCACAUCAGAUAAGGUCGAUCUCCGCCACGUGGAAAGACUCGAAAAUUUCAGUGGAUCGUCUGUCACCAGCCUGCCCGUCGGCGGGUGACCGGCUAAAUCAAACGGCGAGGCUAAGUAUGUAGAACUGUCUGUAGAGGACUUGCGGACGGGGGUUCGAUCCCCCCCGGCUCCACCA